rnacentral:rRNA from 1 species
AUUGAACGCUGGCGGCAUGCUUUACACAUGCAAGUCGAACGGUAACAGGCCUUCGGGUGCUGACGAGUGGCGAACGGGUGAGUAAUGCAUCGGAACGUACCCAGAGGUGGGGGAUAACGCAGCGAAAGCUGUGCUAAUACCGCAUGUGAUCUGAGGAUGAAAGCGGGGGACCGAGCAGCAAUGUUUGGCCUCGCGCCUUUGGAGCGGCCGAUGUCGGAUUAGCUCGUUGGUGGGGUAAAGGCCUACCAAGGCGACGAUCCGUAGCUGGUCUGAGAGGACGACCAGCCACACUGGGACUGAGACACGGCCCAGACUCCUACGGGAGGCAGCAGUGGGGAAUUUUGGACAAUGGGCGCAAGCCUGAUCCAGCAAUGCCGCGUGCGGGAAGAAGGCCUUCGGGUUGUAAACCGCUUUUGGCAGGAACGAAACGGUGUCCGCUAAUACCGGGCGCUAAUGACGGUACCUGCAGAAUAAGCACCGGCUAGCUAGGUG